rnacentral:rRNA from 1 species
AACGAACGCUGGCGGCAGGCCUAACACAUGCAAGUCGAGCGCCCCGCAAGGGGAGCGGCGGACGGGUGAGUAACGCGUGGGAACGUACCCUUUGCUACGGAAUAGCCUCGGGAAACUGGGAGUAAUACCGUAUUUGUCCUUCGGGAGAAAGAUUUAUCGGCAAGGGAUCGGCCCGCGUUGGAUUAGGUAGUUGGUGGGGUAAUGGCCUACCAAGCCGACGAUCCAUAGCUGGUUUGAGAGGAUGAUCAGCCACACUGGGACUGAGACACGGCCCAGACUCCUACGGGAGGCAGCAGUGGGGAAUCUUAGACAAUGGGCGCAAGCCUGAUCUAGCCAUGCCGCGUGAGCGAUGAAGGCCUUAGGGUUGUAAAGCUCUUUCAGGGGGGAAGAUAAUGACUGUACCCCCAGAAGAAGCCCCGGCUAACUCCGUG